rnacentral:lncRNA from 1 species
GAGUUUUAACGAUGUUUAGGAGUAUAGAGGUACAAUUCUAGACUUAGUUUCAAGGAAUUCAAGGUUAUCACAGACGCGAAAGAAAACCUACGCUCUGAUACCAUUAUGUAACAGCCCAACUUUGGGAAAAUAAUAAUAAUGAUAAUAAAAAAAAACGAGAGUUUGACCUUCUUAAUGUUGGCUGCUUUGUUAUUCUACAGGAGCUCCAAAAGAACAAAUUAAGAAAUGAAUGAAUUAUAGAAGAAAAUAAAGAGGAAGCUGUGGAAGGAGUGAAGGAUUUACCGUCUCAAUGAUUGGAGCUUGCUGGUGGGUGGGGAACAAAAGAGAAGGAUUUUUAUUUUGGGAUUGAAACUGACGUGGAGAUGUAAAUAAAAAUAUUGGAAUGUUGAGUUGAGGAGUAGGCAGUACGUGGCUUUCUUGUUUACCAACCUAUUGAAUAAAAUAAGAUAUGGACUUGAUUGGUUUUG